rnacentral:tRNA from 1 species
GGGGUUGUGGCUCAGAGGUAGAGCAUUCACCUAGCACUAGCAAGGCACUGAGUUUGAUCCUCAGCACCACA